rnacentral:rRNA from 1 species
GACGAACGCUGGCGGCGUGCUUAACACAUGCAAGUCGAACGGAGAGGCCCUGCUUUUGUGGGGUGCUCGAGUGGCGAACGGGUGAGUAACACGUGAGUAACCUGCCCUUGACUUUGGGAUAACUUCAGGAAACUGGGGCUAAUACCGGAUAGGAGCUCCUGCUGCAUGGUGGGGGUUGGAAAGUUUCGGCGGUUGGGGAUGGACUCGCGGCUUAUCAGCUUGUUGGUGGGGUAGUGGCUUACCAAGGCUUUGACGGGUAGCCGGCCUGAGAGGGUGACCGGCCACAUUGGGACUGAGAUACGGCCCAGACUCCUACGGGAGGCAGCAGUGGGGAAUAUUGCACAAUGGGCGGAAGCCUGAUGCAGCAACGCCGCGUGCGGGAUGACGGCCUUCGAGUUGUAAACCGCUUUCGCCUGUGACGAAGCGUGAGUGACGGUAAUGGGUAAAGAAGCACCGGCUAACUACGUG